rnacentral:lncRNA from 1 species
GUGCAUCUGUUCGUUUUGACUGCUACUUCCAACAUAUAUGUUCUUUAUUUCAAAGGACACACCUAUUAAACGGUUACCUCAAUUUCUAUAAAUUCUGGGAGAAUUCUCAUUUGCAAAACACAUUAAAAAAUAUUCUUCUCUCUUUCUCUUGGCAUCAUCAGUUCUUUUUCGAGUGUCUUCUUGGUUUGAUCAAAUAAUCACAAUUUGAAUCAAAUACCUCCAUUGUAUCCUAAGAGAGAUUUUCUAUCAUACCCCAGUUGUGACUUCGUUGGAUAGAGAAGAAACAUCUCUUAAAAGAUAACGUUUUUCGUGCCUUAGAGUUCAUUAAGUUUUCAAAUUUUCCUACAUUUUUCUUAUCAGAAAUUGGUGGGGAGACAAUGGAGUGGAGAGUGGAUUAUGGUCUUAGGUCUAUCAUCUAUGGACUAUGGAUUAAUGGAUUGGAGUCAUUGGAUCAUAUGGAUAUGGAUGAUGGAUUCUCGGCAUUGGGCUAGCAGGCUAGGAAUUAAUUGGAACCCCCAAAUGUUCAUGGAUAACCGUUUAAAAAAAAAAAAAAAAAAAAACUGUGGGGUCAUUUGACCCCACAUGACCCCAUGUGGGUCCGCCCCUGG